rnacentral:tRNA from 1 species
GGGUGAUUAGCUCAGUUGGCUAGAGCGUUCGCUUGACGUGCGAAAGGCCAGUGGUUCGAGUCCACUACCACCCA